GAUUGCCGAGAGAGGAAGUUCUAAUGUGCUUCGCUAUAUCUAUUUGUUUAUGGUGAUUAUGUCGUUCUGCAAUCAUAAUGAGGCUACUAUGCCGACGUCUCAGUGUUUUCUUUAAGCAUGGAGGCAGCAAUAUACCCUCCCUCCAACAGCUAGCCGUGAUACAUAAGACGUGCGUGAAUAAUUCCCAACAAAUUAUUAAUCAUGGACUAUAAGAAAAGAAGUGCACGCCCUACUCCAUUUUCAUCUCGCUAUCGCCAUUCGCCUCAAGGUUCUCCUUCUCAAAGGUACCAAACUUCACAACUUCCACUUCCAGCGUUUCCGCAUCAACGAGCACGAUCUCGCCCGUCUGGCUGAACUUCGGAAGCGCUAUUACGCGCACGCGGGUGCCUUGCUCCUCGCCAUUAUCUUCUGAAGAUAAGGUAGUGGAAGCUUCGACAAUUCCCGUUCGGAAACUUGGUUGGUUCCCUGCAAAGAAAACGUGCGGACAGGAUUGGAGAGUAAAUGGGUCGUGAGUUUGAUAAGGGUAGCACCCUGAACAAAGAAAAAGAAGGUUAAUGGGGGCAUCUUGUAGGGGAUACAAAGCAAAACGUCGAGGAUAACGGGGGGCGGGGAGAAAGAGAACAAAACAACAAAAAAAAAAAAAAAAAAACUUACAUAACGUAUCCGGAGC
rnacentral:sRNA from 2 species